AGUCAAACUGGCAACAUUUGAAUGAUAUAGGGGAAGACUUCACUCUUAUAUAUGAAAAGCUGAAAUUCAGCAAGUUAAGCCCUUUCAAAAACUGAUUUUAAGAUAAGUAUCAAUAGGCUCAUACUCUUUAUUUUGUAAUCAUCAAAAAGGGGGAGAUUGAGAAUGAUAGUGUUAUUUUGAUGAUUAACAAGCAUUUAACAAGAGUAUGUUAUAAGUUAAAACAAUACUUCAUUUAU
rnacentral:lncRNA from 1 species